rnacentral:rRNA from 1 species
CAGUCGCCGCGGUAAUACGUGGGGUGCGAGCGUUAAUCGGAAUUACUGGGCGUAAAGCGUGCGCAGGCGGUUCGUUAAGACAGAUGUGAAAUCCCCGGGCUUAACCUGGGAACUGCAUUUGUGACUGGCGGGCUAGAGUAUGGCAGAGGGGGGUAGAAUUCCACGUGUAGCAGUGAAAUGCGUAGAGAUGUGGGAGAAUACCGAUGGCGAAGGCAGCCCCCUGGGCCAAUACUGACGCCCAUGCACGAAAGCGUGGGGAGCAGACAGGAUUAGAUACCCCGGUAGUCCCUGUCUCUUAUAC